rnacentral:rRNA from 1 species
GGAAUUACUGGGCGUAAAGCGUACGUAGGCGGAUUAGUCAGUUAGAGGUGAAAUCCCGGGGCUCAACCCUGGAACUGCCUUUAAUACUGCUAGUCUUGAGUUCGAGAGAGGUGAGUGGAAUUCCGAGUGUAGAGGUGAAAUUCGUAGAUAUUCGGAGGAACACCAGUGGCGAAGGCGGCUCACUGGCUCGAUACUGACGCUGAGGUGCGAAAGUGUGGGGAGCAAACAGGAUUAGAUACCCUGGUGGUCCACACCGUAAACGAUGAAUGCCAGUCGUCGGGUAGCAUGCUAUUCGGUGACACACCUAACGGAUUAAGCAUUCCGCCUGGGGAGUACGGUCGCAAGAUUAAAACUCAAAGGAAUUGACGGGGACCCGCACAAGCGGUGGAGCAUGUGGUUUAAUUCGAUGCAACGCGAAAAACCUUACCUACUCUUGACAUACUUGGAAGCUCUUGUAAUGAGAGUGUGCUUUUAGAGCCAAGAUACAGGUGCUGCAUGGCU